GACGGAGGGUGCUAGCGUUGUUCGGAAUUACUGGGCGUAAAGGGCGCGUAGGCGGCCCUGGAAGUCGGGUGUGAAAGCCCGGGGCUCAACCCCGGAACGGCACCCGAUACUCCUGGGCUCGAGACCGGGAGAGGUGGGUGGAAUACCCAGUGUAGAGGUGAAAUUCGUAGAUAUUGGGUGGAACACCGGUGGCGAAGGCGGCCCACUGGCCCGGUUCUGACGCUGAGACACGAAAGCGUGGGGAGCAAACAGG
rnacentral:rRNA from 1 species